UACGUAGGGCGCAAGCGUUAUCCGGAAUUAUUGGGCGUAAAGAGCUCGUAGGCGGUUUGUCGCGUCUGCCGUGAAAGUCCGGGGCUCAACUCCGGAUCUGCGGUGGGUACGGGCAGACUAGAGUGAUGUAGGGGGAGACUGGGAAUUCCUGGUGUAGCGGUGAAAAUGCGCAGAUAUCAGGAGGAACACCGAUGGCGAAGGCAGGUCUCUGGGCAUUAACUGACGCUGAGGAGCGAAAGCAUGGGGAGCGAACAGG
rnacentral:rRNA from 1 species